rnacentral:lncRNA from 1 species
AAAUUCAGAUUUACGCUGAUAGAACAUGUUUGGUUAUCCGAAAGUGGUUAAAGUAAAAAAAAAAGAAGAAGUUAUUUUUAUAAAAAUAACUUUUGAGUUUGAUUAUUUGGUUGGCUAUAAAGUGAAAAAUAAAAAAUUAUAGUUUUGUUGUUUGCAUUGUUUGAUUAUCUAAUUAUAAAUAAAGAAGUAAAAAAUAUAAAGAAACGGAUUUAUGCUCGCAAUUUAAUUACAUUUUAAAUUUUAAAUUUGAAUGUAAAUUUAAAUUGAAUUUAUAAUUAAAAUUUUAAGACAAACAAUUAAAUUUGUAAUAGGAAUUUAAAGUUUAAGUUAUAAUUUGGCAAAUGAUGUCGAAAAGUGAUGAAAUUUGAUUUCUAAAUAGUUCUAAUAACGCAGAUUAAUUAUGUAUAACGCCGUCGAUUAUCGAAUCGAAAAUAAUUUGAAAGUAUGAAAACCUCCAUGCUUUUAAAAGCACAAGAGACGUACAAAAAUAAAAUAUUUAGUUAGAUCCAAAAAGGAUUU